GGAAGCGUAGCUCAGUCGGUUAGAGCGCUGGCCUGUCACGCCAGAGGUCGGGGGUUCGAGUCCCCUCGUUUCCG
rnacentral:tRNA from 1 species